CUGAUCUCCUAGUAAAAAAGCUAGAAUAAUAACAUAAGACCAGAAGACCCUGUGAAGCUUAAAUCAAACUAUUAAACCAUAUAAUAACUACUUUCGGUUGGGGCGACCUUGGAAAAAAAAAGAACUUCCAAGACCCAGCACAGCUGAUAAUUGAACCAAGUUACUCCAGGGAUAACAGCGCAAUCUUCUUCAAGAGCCCAUAUCAAAAAGAAGGUUUACGACCUCGAUGUUGGAUCAGGACAUCCUAAUGGUGCAGCCGCUAUUAAGGGUUCGUUUGUUCAACGAUUAACAGUCCUACGUGAUCUGA
rnacentral:rRNA from 1 species